GGGAUAUUGCACAAUGGGGGGAACCCUGAUGCAGCGACGCCGCGUGGGUGAAGAAGUAUUUCGGUAUCUAAAGCCCUAUCAGCACGGAAGAUAAUGACGGUACCUGCCUAAGAAGCACCGGCUAACUACGUGCCAGCAGCCGCGGUAAUACGUAGGGGGCGAGCGUUAUCCGGAUUUACUGGGUGUAAAGGGAGCGCAGACGGAUGAUCAAGUCAGAUGUGGAAGCCCCGGGCAUAACUCGGGGAGUGCAUUUGAAACUGGUGAUCUGGAGUGCUGGAGAGGUAAGCGGAAUUCCUGGUGUAGCGGUGAAAUGCGUAGAUAUCAGGAAGAACACCGGUGGCGAAGGCGGCUUACUGGACAGUAACUGACGUUGAGGCUCGAAAGCGUGGGGAGCAAACA
rnacentral:rRNA from 1 species